AAUUCAACAUACUAAUUAAACUAAGUGAAAACAAGAGAAAUUAACAAGCCUAUUUUACUUCUAGUAAAUUAAGUGACCCAAUAUGCAAUUAACAAAUAAAUUAAAAGUCCAAAUGGCCUAAGGAAACCUCUUGGCCGUGAGUCAUGUUUCAACAAGUCAAACUUCAAUUUCCACCUUCAAUAAGCCACCAAAAUGUGUUGACUUCUUGUCCUAUGUGCACCAUUCUUCAAGGAAAUAAGCAUGUACCUUAAACACACAAUAAAACCAUGUUUUCCUCCCUUCCCAUGUAGAAAAAACGUGAUUGUACACACCAAAGCACAAAAAAACGUGAACUACAAGGUGGUUGUUGCAAACAAUGCUUCAAACCAAGGGGUAAAUGAAAGAUCCUUUGAAUGCUUCAACCAAGAUGCCAUGUAAGCAAAGUCAAAAGGGAUAAAAACAAUCACAAUUGAUUCUCAUCAUCAAACCAUUCUCGGCAGAUUGCAAAGAGAGACAAAUCUUAAAGUGGAAACAUUCCUUGGGUGGAAAUAAGCAUCUCAUAUGUUUGCCCAAAAGUGGUAAAAAUUAAAUGCAUCAUUCUCUCUCCCUUCCCAUGCACCAAAUGGUUUUCUUUCUUCUCUACAACCAACAAUCAGAUUUCUUUCAUUUCUAAUUACCAAGAAUGCAUCCAAACAACCCAAGUUCCAAAUGCAAAACAAUACACACACAUCAAACACAAGUCUACCUCCUUCAACCCAACUUCUAAGUCUCUUCUCUUCAAAUUUUUGACAAAAACAAAAUUGAAUCCCUAAACCCCUUUGCAAAACUAUCCAGCCCCCAUCACGAAACACAAUGUCCAGCUCAAAAUAUUACUCUCAGCCAUUAAACAAAAGAUCAAGCAGAAAAGAGUCUAAACCUCAAACACCCAUGCUAUUGAAUAAUGUCUUAAACAAAGCAUGCAAAUAUAAUGGAGGAAAAAAUCUAACAACUAAUGAAUAAAAGCAUAUGAAUAAAGCAACAAUUCAAUAUAUGAUAGUUUCAAAGGAUUACAUCAAGUCCCCAGCAAUAAUGGAG
rnacentral:lncRNA from 1 species